ensembl:snoRNA U3 Small nucleolar RNA U3
AAAACUGUACUCUCAGAGAGCAUAUCUAUAUUGUUACUAGAGAAGUUUUCUGAACAUGUAGCGUACACAAAACCACAAGGAGAAGGUGCAAUGCUCUCUCCUGAGUAAGAAGAUGACUUUGGGUGUUGUUUCUGUGACAGCCAGUUGCCAUUGAUGAUCAUUCUUCUCCUUUGGGGGAGUAAGAAGAAGAGGAACAGGUCUGAGUGAU